GGGGGCGUAGCUCAGUUGGUUAGAGCGUCUCCCUGUCACGGAGAAGGUCGCGGGUUCGAGCCCCGUCGCUCCCG
rnacentral:tRNA from 3 species